AAUAUUGCACAAUGGGGGGAACCCUGAUGCAGCGACGCCGCGUGAGCGAAGAAUGCCUUCGGGUCGUAAAGCUCUGUCCUUGGGGAAGAAGGCGGCCAUUUAUGGCCACUUGACGGUACCCAAGGAGGAAGCCCCGGCUAACUACGUGCCAGCAGCCGCGGUAAUACGUAGGGGGCAAGCGUUGUCCGGAAUUAUUGGGCGUAAAGGGUGCGUAGGCGGCCUUUUAAGUCAGAUGUGAAAGACCACGGCUUAACCGUGGGGUUGCAUUUGAAACUGGAGGGCUCGAGUAUCGGAGAGGGUAGUGGAAUUCCCAGUGUAGCGGUGGAAUGCGUAGAUAUUGGGAGGAACACUAGUGGCGAAGGCGACUACCUGGACGAAAACUGACGCUGAGGCACGAAAGCUAGGGGAGCAAACA
rnacentral:rRNA from 1 species